UUAAAUCGAUUGAAUUAAACGAACAUUAUCAUUAGAAAAAAAAGAAAUGAUCUUCAGAAAAGAUUACAAGAUAUUGCAUGAAUUUGCGCAAAACGUGAUUUUCCAACGUCACGCGUGUCUUUUUCGCAUACAUACUAGAUGCAAAUGGUAACAUUUAAAUUUCUUUAAGCUGACAGAGUGAUAAAUUUACGAGAAUUGAUUCGCUUAAUACAUUCCUCAAGAUUUUCCUGUAUCUACUUAGUAUGGGAAAGAUUGAGGUUAUCGAGUGGAUUCACAUAACCGUGACGUCGUCCAGGUCCGUUGAAAUAGCACUUUAGGAAAACAUAAGUCAUGCAAAAGGUAGACUGAAAAGAGGGCUUCGUAUUAUGCGACGACGACCGUCUUCCACUCAAAUUGUUACUCCGCUUAGCCAUGAUGGGCACUGAUCACUUAUUUAUGAGUAAAAAACACGCGAGAAUGUCUUCAAACGGCGCAUCCCAGAAAUUGUCAGCGAACCACCACCUUCGUGACUAAAAUCCACGAGAGAAAAUAUGGCCGCCCCAAAGACCGCCACCAGGGCGCCAGGUUUCUCUGGAAUAUGCGCUUGUCGCGCCUGCCCACGUGACACAUCGUAUGCGUUCGCUGCCUUAAAGUUGGCGUGUGAUAGCGCUGUAACAGCUUGGGGUCGGUUGAUACAUUAUCGACAUUUUAUAACCUGUAUCGGCUAUAUCCAUUUCGUUUAUUUUGUUGUAAGUAACAUAUACAGUUGUCGACAAAAAUCUAUUUGCACACCAUUGUAUUUAUAAUAGCAUUUACAUACUGUAUAAUUAGUUAGGUCCAUAGGUAUAUUAAAUUUCGCACUAUUUAAUGGUAUUUUGAAAUGAAAUGCACAGAACCUGGUAAGAAAAAUGCUUCGUUGGAAAAUAAAGAUAAGUGCAAAUACUAUUUGUAACCAUUGUACAUGUUUUUUUAAUUUUCAUAAAAUAAUUAAAAGAAAAGAAUAUUUCAUAAUAUAGAUUAUUGUGAAGAUUAAGUUUUAAAAAUUUCUCUAUAUAAAGUUCGGAGUACAGAUUUUGUCUGUAUUAUGAUUGUCUGUAUAAUAUAUGUAUGUAUAAUUCAAAAUAGAUUAAUUUUCUGAAUCUAUGCUAUAUGAUUUAACUUUAUAUUCGUACAAUAUUGAAACGUUAUAAUAUCUAUUCUUUUAAUAAUAUCAUUAUGUAGUAAACAACAAUAUUUGGUUUAUGACUAAACAAAAUUUUGUAUAAAAUGUUAGUUGAGCGAUCAGUCAAUGUAAUCGAUUGUUUCCAUUGUUUUAAAAUAAAUCGUUUUUCGUAAUGAGCGCUUCUUACUUCCGGUUGCAUGUUUAAGUUAAGUGCGCUAAUUUUUAUGUAUAUCGUAUUCUUAGUUUUCAGUUUACAAUCAUAUUAAAGAUUACACAGUAUAUAUUGUUUCUUCUAUUCUUUUAAUUUGUUUGUUUAAUUUUAAAUUGUAACUAUAGAUAUAUGUAUAUCUAUUUUAAAUAUGAUAUUGUGAAAUGAAAAAGAAUGAAAAUGAUUUUUCGACUUUUGGAGUAUUAUGUAAACAUACGAGCAAGUGCAUUAAAAUGAUUAAAUUGAGCAAAUCGAUUAAGAUAUUAAAAUAAAGAUAUUUUUUUUAAUUACA